rnacentral:miRNA from 1 species
GCCCGUCUGGCACCAGGGUCUUCCCCCUGCACCAGGACAGGGCUGAGGGCUGGCUGGGAGUGGAGCAGAGCUGGCGG